rnacentral:rRNA from 1 species
CCUACGGGGGGCUGCAGUGAGGAAUAUUGGUCAAUGGACGCAAGUCUGAACCAGCCAUGCUGCGUGCAGGAAGACGGCUCUAUGAGUUGUAAACUGCUUUUGUACGAGGGUAAACGCAGAUACGCGUAUCUGUCUGAAAGUAUCGUACGAAUAAGGAUCGGCUAACUCCGUGCCAGCAGCCGCGGUAAUACGGAGGAUUCAAGCGUUAUCCGGAUUUAUUGGGUUUAAAGGGUGCGUAGGCGGUCGGAUAAGUUAGAGGUGAAAUCCCGAGGCUCAACUUCGGAAUUGCCUCUGAUACUGUUCGGCGAGAGAGUAGUUGCGGUAGGCGGAAUGUAUGGUGUAGCGGUGAAAUGCUUAGAGAUCAUACAGAACACCGAUUGCGAAGGCAGCUUACCAAGCUACUUCUGACGUUGAGGCACGAAAGCGUGGGGAGCAAACAGGAGUAGAUACCCUUGUAGUC